GAUGAACGCUGGCGGCGUGCCUAAUACAUGCAAGUCGAGCGAACAGACGAGGAGCUUGCUCCUCUGACGUUAGCGGCGGACGGGUGAGUAACACGUGGAUAACCUACCUAUAAGACUGGGAUAACUUCGGGAAACCGGAGCUAAUACCGGAUAAUAUAUUGAACCGCAUGGUUCAAUAGUGAAAGACGGUUUUGCUGUCACUUAUAGAUGGAUCCGCGCCGCAUUAGCUAGUUGGUAAGGUAACGGCUUACCAAGGCAACGAUGCGUAGCCGACCUGAGAGGGUGAUAGGCCACACUGGAACUGAGACACGGUCCAGACUACUAAGGGAGGCAGCAGUAGGGAAUCUUCCGCAAUGGGCGAAAGCCUGACGGAGCAACGCCGCGUGAGUGAUGAAGGUCUUCGGAUCGUAAAACUCUGUUAUUAGGGAAGAACAAAUGUGUAAGUAACUAUGCACGUCUUGACGGUACCUAAUCAGAAAGCCACGGCUAACUACGUG
rnacentral:rRNA from 1 species